rnacentral:tRNA from 1 species
GGAAGCGAGUCAGAGUAGUUGAAUGCAGUGUACUGAAACUCCGUAGGACCGGCAAAAUACCAUUGACUCCGGUGCGGUGGGUUCGAAUCCCGCCGCUUCCG